CCCUGAGAUCAUGACCUGACCUGAAACCAAGAGUUGGACACCUAACCAACUGAGCCACCCAGGUAUGAUGAGAACGGAACAGGUGUUCUCAAACAAUAUGUGACUCUUAAAAACUUGGGAAUUGAGGAUCACGAUGGAUCAUCAAAAACCACAAAAGUUUCAGUAAUAUCUGGAAGCCGUGUCAGAAAAAUAUCGAGAAUAGAGGAAGAACCAGAAGAUUUACUUGAUGCAGAGAAGUGCCUGAAAGGCAAGUUCACAGGGGGAUUCAGUAACAUGAGAGAAUUUGAAAAAUAUGAUCCAGAAAAAAUAGGCAAGGUAGAUGUAUUUUAAGAAUCACACCAGGCUCAAGGCACCUGGGUGGCUCAGUUGGUUAAGCAUCCGACUCUUGAUUUUGGCUCAGGUUGUGAUCUCACUCAGGGCUGUGGGAUUAAGCUCCACGUUGAG